rnacentral:lncRNA from 10 species
AGUUUGGGAGGCACAAAAAUGAAAGCCCUGUCCAGGGCCAGAGAGGGGUGCUUCAUGCUGAACGCCACAGGCUAUGAGGUUGGCUGAGGAGUCCCCAGCGCGGAGCCCACAUCAGGACCAUCUGCAGUGUCUAAAUAAGUGCGCCUUGAGGUCCAGCCCCAGAGGUUCUCACUCAGAUCUGGACGGAGGGCCAGGUGUGGGAGAAGCCAGGUUUACAAGCUCG